GACGAACGCUGGCGGCGUGCUUAACACAUGCAAGUCGAACGGAAAGGCCCCUUUGGGGGUACUCGAGUGGCGAACGGGUGAGUAACACGUGAGUAACCUGCCCUUGACUUCGGGAUAACUUCAGGAAACUGGGGCUAAUACCGGAUAGGAAUCCUUGCUGCAUGGUGGGGGUUGGAAAGCUUCGGCGGUUUUGGAUGGACUCGCGGCUUAUCAGCUUGUUGGUGGGGUAGUGGCUUACCAAGGCUUUGACGGGUAGCCGGCCUGAGAGGGCGACCGGCCACAUUGGGACUGAGAGACGGCCCAGACGCCUACGGGAGGCAGCAGGGGGGAAUAUUGCACAAUGGGCGGAAGCCUGAUGCAGCAACGCCGCGUGCGGGAUGACGGCCUUCGGGUUGUAAACCGCUUUCAGCAGGGGCGAAGCUUGUGGUGACGGUACCUGCAGAAGAAGCACCGACUAACUACGUG
rnacentral:rRNA from 1 species